GGUGGUGCAUGGUUGUCGUCAGCUCGUGUCCGUGAGAUGUUCGGGUUAAGUCCCGCAACGAGCGCAACCCUCGACCUUAGUUGCCAGCAUUCAGUUGGGCACUCUAAGGUGACUGCCGGCUAAAAGUCGGAGGAAGGUGGGGAUGACGUCAAAUCAUCAUGCCCCUUAUGACCUGGGCUACACACGUGCUACAAUGGGCGGUACAAAGGGUCGCGAACCCGCGAGGGGGAGCCAAUCCCAAAAAGCCGCUCUCAGUUCGGAUUGCAGGCUGCAACUCGCCUGCAUGAAGCCGGAAUCGCUAGUAAUCGCGGAUCAGCAUGCCGCGGUGAAUACGUUCCCGGGCCUU
rnacentral:rRNA from 1 species